UGUUCUUUCACCCAGACUAGAGUGCAGUGGGGAGAUCAUGGCUGACUACAGCCUUGGUCUCUUGGGCUCAAUCACCCUGGAGUAGCUGGGACUACAGGCACCUGCCACCAUGCCCAACUUAUUUUUAAAAAGUUUUUUUAGAGGCAGGGUCUGGACAUAGAAUGUCACUAUUUUGUUUCGGCCGAUCUCCAACUCCUGGGUUCAAGGAAUCCUCCCACUUCAGCUUCCCAAAAUGCUGGGAUUGCAGGCCAAUUAUCAACUGCAAAAACUACAUUGCUUAUUGGAUUCAUCUACCUCCAAUGACAUGUUAGAUGAUCAAUGGCCAGUCACUUUCUAGAUCUCAGGCUCAGUCUGUGUUAAUGGAAAACCUGAAACUUUCAUUUCAACCUUGUUUAUAUCACCAGGAAGAAAUGAAUAUUUAUAAAACAAGAAAAGGGCACCAUCCAGGUGUUAUUUUUCUCAGUGAAUUAUACACAAUGAAGGAUAAUAAAACAGCUUCAGCGUAAACUCAAGUUGCUGCCAUUUAGCACUAAUUGCUUAGGCAUUUAUUCAGUUCUACAGGCAAAUGUAUGGGCGAUGAUGUCAUAGAGAAAUGUAUCAUGGUACAUUUGGAGGCAAUAAACUGGGCAGGUAAGAGCUUUCUUUUCAUUAAAGUCCAGCAGUUAGUGGAUAAAGAUGACUGAAUGAUCUAGGCUUGAGGGCUGGACCAAAGGGGUGGAAUCACCAAUCAGUUGAGGGUACAAAGCAGGAUUCAUUUUACCCUAAAGGAGUUGAAAGCAGAACUCUAGAUCAACAUGGUCAAGUGAACAUACAAGUUUAAUGUUGGUCUCUCCCAAAACUACACUGGAUCACAAAAAAAGUUAAUGUGAAAAACACACACACACACAUACCCACACACACAACUGUGUCAAAAACAAAAAAAAAUAUCUAUGGAAGACCAAAAAAGAAAAAAAAAAAAGAAAAGAAAACUGUCUAGAUGGUAUAAAUUAAAUAAUAAGUGAUUAAUGAAGAAACUCAUCAAGGAUCAACUGACGUUUGAGAAAAAGAUCAAUAAAAAAGAAGGAUCAAAA
rnacentral:lncRNA from 1 species